rnacentral:lncRNA from 1 species
UCCAUAGUGGAAAGUAUGCUUUGGCUGCCGCAGAAGACUGCCGCAGUUGACAAGACCAUGCAUUCUAUCCUGCCGCAAUGCCAAUAAUAUGCUGCCGCAGGUAAAAAUUCAAACGACUACACGCAAUACUGCUGACCACUAAACAGUAAACAUUGAAGCCAUCACUCUUAAAAAAAAGAUGUGCUAUUAACUCAACACAGCUUUUUUGUCAAAUAAUUAAUACAUCUUAUGAUGUGUUGAUACAACACACCACUGCCAUGUCACCCAAAUUGUUCCGCAGGUAUUUUCUAAAUUAUUUCUGCUGCA